AUUGAACGCUGGCGGCAGGCUUAACACAUGCAAGUCGAGCGGGGUGAUGGUGCUUGCACUAUCACUUAGCGGCGGACGGGUGAGUAAUGCUUAGGAAUCUGCCUAUUAGUGGGGGACAACAUCUCGAAAGGGAUGCUAAUACCGCAUACGUCCUACGGGAGAAAGCAGGGGAUCACUUGUGACCUUGCGCUAAUAGAUGAGCCUAAGUCGGAUUAGCUAGUUGGUGGGGUAAAGGCCUACCAAGGCGACGAUCUGUAGCGGGUCUGAGAGGAUGCUCCGCCCCACUGGGCCUGGGACACAGCCCAUACUCCUACGGGAGGCAGCAGUGGCGAAUAUUAGACAAUGGGGGGAACCCUGAUCCAGCCAUGCCGCGUGCGUGAAUAAGGCCUUAUGGUUGUAAAGCACUUUAAGCGAGGAGGAGGCUACUGAGACUAAUACUCUUGGAUAGUGGACGUUACUCGCAGAAUAAGCACCGGCUAACUCUGUGCCAGCCGCCGCCGUAA
rnacentral:rRNA from 1 species